rnacentral:rRNA from 1 species
UCGAGCGGUAAGGCCCUUCGGGGUACACGAGCGGCGAACGGGUGAGUAACACGUGAGCAACCUGCCCCUGACUCUGGGAUAAGCGGUGGAAACGCCGUCUAAUACCGGAUACGACCCGCCACCUCAUGGUGGAGGGUGGAAAGUUUUUCGGUCAGGGAUGGGCUCGCGGCCUAUCAGCUUGUUGGUGGGGUAACGGCCUACCAAGGCGAUUACGGGUAGCCGGCCUGAGAGGGCGACCGGCCACACUGGGACUGAGACACGGCCCAGACUCCUGCGGGAGGCAGCAGUGGGGAAUAUUGCGCAAUGGGCGAAAGCCUGACGCAGCGACGCCGCGUGGGGGAUGACGGCCUUCGGGUUGUAAACCUCUUUUACCACCAACGCAGGCUUCCAGUUCUCUGGAGGUUGACGGUAGGUGGGGAAUAAGGACCGGCUAACUACGUGCCAGCAGCCGCGGUAAUACGUAGGGUCCGAGCGUUGUCCGGAAUUAUUGGGCGUAAAGAGCUCGUAGGCGGCGUGUCGCGUCUGCUGUGAAAGACCGGGGCUUAACUCCGGUUCUGCAGUGGAUACGGGCAUGCUAGAGGUAGGUAGGGGAGACUGGAAUUCCUGGUGUAGCGGUGAAAUGCGCAGAUAUCAGGAGGAACACCGGUGGCGAAGGCGGGUCUCUGGGCCUUACCUGACGCUGAGGAGCGAAAGCAUGGGGAGCGAACAGGAUUAGAUACCCUGGUAGUCCAUGCCGUAAACGUUGGGCGCUAGGUGUGGGGACUUUCCACGGUUUCCGCGCCGUAGCUAACGCAUUAAGCGCCCCGCCUGGGGAGUACGGCCGCAAGGCUAAAACUCAAAGGAA